rnacentral:lncRNA from 10 species
CGAGGUCUUUAAAAGCAGAGCGUUUACUCUAGUUGGUUGCAGUCAGAGAGACACGCUUAGGUGGCUCAGAGGAAAGCCGGUAUCCAUGUUCUCGAUGGUGCAUGUAGGCCACAUGGAAAGAAACUGAAGGAGACGUCUAGAAGAAUAGAGUGGUCCCUGGCCAACAGCUAAAAAAAAAAAAAAAAACAAAACACUAAAACGGCAAAUAAGUUGGGACCUCAGCCCUACAACCACAAAGAAAGAAAUUCUGCCAAAACACACAGAGGACCUCCAGCCUUCGAUGAGAACCAUAACCCUAUCAAAAACCUUGAUUUCAGCUAGUGAGACCCUGAGUAGGAACUCCGGCCAAGCUGCACCCUGGAUUCUAACCUACAGAAAGUUUAAGGCUGGAUUUGUGGAUUCACUUGCAAAGAAAAGAUGAGAGAAAGAGGACCACAAAUAACUUUACAGUGGAAAAAAGGGCAGAUCUACCAAGAGAUCAAGGCUGACAUCACAGAUACUGUGUUUGUCGCAAAUUGAAAGUUUGUGGCAACCCUCCAUCAAGCAAGUCUAUCAGCACCACUGCAUCAUUUUUCCAACAGCAUGUGCUCACUUCAUGUCUCGGUGUCAUCAUUUUGGAAGGAUAGAGAAAAUAGAAGAUAUCGAGAGGAAAGAGCAAAAAGUUUUGCUUUUUUAUUCUGAGAAAGUAAUGCAUAUUUCUGCUCAUGAAUCAGAAUUUCCAAGUAAUCCAGACAGUGAGCCUCCACUGAGAACAAAGAAGAUCUUCAAAGCCACCAGUCAGCCAAAGAGGUCAUAAGUGAGAACCUCUCAGUGAGAUGCCAGGACUUCUGGAGAGAACUCCUACUAGAAUUCCUCAGAAUCAGCACAGCAAUGUUUUGCCCAGGCCCCCUUCCCUGCCCUGCUUGGUGAUAUGUUUUUUUGAAGAUGAGGAAACUGAGACCUGAGAAUAUAAAGUGACUCAUCCAGAUUACAAAGCUGGGAGAAGCCACCAAGAGUUUGUGGAAGACCGCUUGCUGUGUUC